GACGAACGCUGGCGGCGUGCCUAAUACAUGCAAGUUGAGCGCUGAAGGUUGGUACUUGUACCAACUGGAUGAGCAGCGAACGGGUGAGUAACGCGUGGGGAAUCUGCCUUUGAGCGGGGGACAACAUUUGGAAGCGAAUGCUAAUACCGCAUAAAAACUUUAAACACAAGUUUUAAGUUUGAAAGAUGCAAUUGCAUCACUCAAAGAUGAUCCCGUGUUGUAUUAGCUAGUUGGUGAGGUAAAGGCUCACCAAGGCGAUGAUACAUAGCCGACCUGAGAGGGUGAUCGGCCACAUUGGGACUGAGACACGGCCCAAACUCCUACGGGAGGCAGCAGUAGGGAAUCUUCGGCAAUGGACGAAAGUCUGACCGAGCAACGCCGCGUGAGUGAAGAAGGUUUUCGGAUCGUAAAACUCUGUUGGUAGAGAAGAACGUUGGUGAGAGUGGAAAGCUCAUCAAGUGACGGUAACUACCCAGAAAGGGACGGCUAACUACGUG
rnacentral:rRNA from 1 species